UACGUAGGAGGCAAACGUUGUCCGGAAUUAUUGGGCGUAAAGAGCGUGUAGGCGGUCCGGUAAGUCAGCUGUGAAAGUCAAGGGCUCAACCCUUGAAAGCCGGUUGAUACUGUCGGGCUAGAGUCCGGAAGAGGCGAGUGGAAUUCCCGGUGUAGCGGUGAAAUGCGCAGAUAUCGGGAGGAACACCAAUGGCGAAGGCAGCUCGCUGGGACGGUACUGACGCUGAGGAGCGAAAGCGUGGGGAGCAAACAGG
rnacentral:rRNA from 1 species